rnacentral:rRNA from 1 species
UGGGGAAUAUUGCACAAUGGGCGCAAGCCUGAUGCAGCCAUGCCGCGUGUGUGAAGAAGGCCUUCGGGUUGUAAAGCACUUUCAGCGGGGAGGAAGGCGUUAAGGUUAAUAACCUUGGCGAUUGACGUUACCCGCAGAAGAAGCACCGGCUAACUCCGUGCCAGCAGCCGCGGUAAUACGGAGGGUGCAAGCGUUAAUCGGAAUUACUGGGCGUAAAGCGCACGCAGGCGGUCUGUCAAGUCGGAUGUGAAAUCCCCGGGCUCAACCUGGGAACUGCAUUCGAAACUGGCAGGCUAGAGUCUUGUAGAGGGGGGUAGAAUUCCAGGUGUAGCGGUGAAAUGCGUAGAGAUCUGGAGGAAUACCGGUGGCGAAGGCGGCCCCCUGGACAAAGACUGACGCUCAAGUGCGAAAGCGUGGGGAGCAAACAGG